rnacentral:rRNA from 1 species
CAAGGAAUUUUGCGCAAUGGGCGAAAGCCUGACGCAGCAACGCCGCGUGGAGGAUGACGGCCUUCGGGUUGUAAACUCCUUUUCUGGGGGAAGAAACCUGACGGUACCCCAGGAAGAAGCCCCGGCUAACUACGUGCCAGCAGCCGCGGUAAUACGUAGGGGGCGAGCGUUGUCCGGAUUUACUGGGCGUAAAGCGCGCGUAGGCGGUUGGGUCAGUCGGCCGUGAAAGCCCCCGGCUUAACUGGGGGAGGUCGGUCGAUACUGCCCAACUGGAGGGUCGUAGAGGGAGCUGGAAUUCCCGGUGUAGUGGUGAAAUGCGUAGAGAUCGGGAGGAACACCAGUGGCGAAGGCGGGCUCCUGGGCGACACCUGACGCUGAGGUGCGAAAGCGUGGGGAGCGAACUGA